rnacentral:rRNA from 1 species
CUGGCGGCGUGCUUAACACAUGCAAGUCGAACGGAAAGGCCCCUUCGGGGGUACUCGAGUGGCGAACGGGUGAGUAACACGUGGGCAAUCUGCCCUGCACUUCGGGAUAAGCCUGGGAAACUGGGUCUAAUACCGGAUAGGACCUUUAGGCGCAUGUCUAUUGGUGGAAAGCUUUUGCGGUGUGGGAUGGGCCCGCGGCCUAUCAGCUUGUUGGUGGGGUGAUGGCCUACCAAGGCGACGACGGGUAGCCGGCCUGAGAGGGUGUCCGGCCACACUGGGACUGAGAUACGGCCCAGACUCCUACGGGAGGCAGCAGUGGGGAAUAUUGCACAAUGGGCGCAAGCCUGAUGCAGCGACGCCGCGUGGGGGAUGACGGCCUUCGGGUUGUAAACCUCUUUCACCAUCGACGAAGGUCCGGGUUUUCUCGGAUUGACGGUAGGUGGAGAAGAAGCACCGGCCAACUACGUGCCAGCAGCCGCGGUAAUACACU